rnacentral:rRNA from 1 species
GAUUAACGCUGGCGGCGUGCAUAACACAUGCAAGUCGAACGAAGUGGCGGACGGGUGAGUAACGCGUGAGUAACCUGCCUUAGAGAAGGGGAUAGCCUUUGGAAACGAAGAAUAAUACCCUAUACUCUAAGAUGGACUUGCGUCUGAUUAGUUAGUUGGUGAGGUAACGGCCCACCAAGACAGCGAUCAGUAGCCGGCGUGGGAGAGAGUACGGGCCCAUUGGGACUGAGACACUGCCCAGACUGUACGGGAGGCAGCAGUGGGGAAUUGUGCACAAUGGGGGAAACCCGGAUGCAGCGACGCCGCGUGAUUUAGAAGGCCUGCGGGUUGUAAACCGCUUUCAGCCAUGACGCGGUAGUGGCAGAAGAAGCACCGGCUAACUACGUGCCAGCAGCCGCGGUAAUUC